GUCCCUGUGGCUCAGCUGGAUAGAGCAACGGACUUCUAAUCCGUAGGUCGGGGGUUCGAAUCCCUCCGGGGACGCCA
rnacentral:tRNA from 3 species